CCGGUAACCAUAAACCAAAUCUAUAUCCAAAUUAAACCAUAUUUAAAAGUCCAGCCCAAAGUAAAAUUUUAGAAUCGGUGACCCAUUUACCAAAACCAAAAAAAACCGUAAACCAUUAAUAAAAAUUGGAUCAGCUUACCGGUUACCAAAUUUGAGACUCUCAAUCUCAACUCUCUCUUCUUCUCUUCUCUUUCGCUAGUUGAGUAGCUGUCACAAACCCUAAUUCCCAAAAUGGCAUCACCACACUCCGCCUAAUUCUCCUUCACCUUCUCCAUCUCCAAUUCUCUCUACACUUUCUCUCUCAUUCCAUCCAAUCUUCGAUCUCAGUCUUACGAUUGAAUUGCCGUGUCAGAAACUUUUUGAAGAUUCAAGAUGACUAAUGCUAAUUACUUGCCAACGUAUGCAACAUGCGAAAAUACGGUUUCAACCAAAUAGCUGUUGAGAUGGCUUGACAGCACCAAAAAGGCCUAUGUAAGGUCGACUCCUGAUUACGAUGUAUUGACUCUUGAUUAUGACUGUGUUAUCUAAGGUGUUGUUUGGUAUCAGUUGGAUGUUGGCCGGUAAUUCUGUUUUGAGUGUUGUUAGUAUCUAGUUUUUUUCUUGGGCAAAUUAGUCCGUGCUUUUGUAUUGGUCUCGAUUGUAUUCGUUUGAAUUGGUGGUGUACUUGCUUUAGAUACUAUUUCCUUUUCACUUUCUAAUAGAAGUGUUUUUAAUCUA